CAUUUCACAGAACCAGCACCACCGACCCUCCUUCAUCAAAUUCAUCUCCCUGACAAUCUCUGCUCACAGCCACCAACAUAGUUAAACUCUUGAUCUCUAUCUCUCUCAAUCUUAUCUUUUUCUUUAUCAAGAACAGUAACCCUAGGAGCUAGGAUUGAGAGAGAUAAGACUAGGGUUUUGUUCAACAACUGGAAAUUCAGUCCUGCAGAGUUGAAUUGAAGAUAAGAACUGUCAGAAAACGCAUUUUGGUACCUGCGACAUCUCUCUGCGAAACAAGGAAAGAAAGGACAAGGAACAGAACAAAUUUGUGUCGUGCGUAAACUCGGUUCUGUACCAGCAAUAUCGUUUUCAAAACUUAUCUAUUGUCAUGACUAUGUGAAUGCUAUAACAUAUUUUCCUGCUAAAACUGGUUGCUUUACAUAGCCCUGUCAAAAUCCAUGCAACACAUUUUUUGUGCAUGAUUGUAUGAUACUUGAGCAGCGCAUAUACUAGCUGAAAUUGUUAUUUCUACGAGCAUAUCUCAGUCGCUGAAAACCUUUGUAUCUGUCUGCAUGUAUGUGUGAAAAUGUUACCGAUUCCAUAA